AGCGAACGCUGGCGGCAGGCUUAACACAUGCAAGUCGAGCGGACCUUUCGGGGUCAGCGGCGGACGGGUGAGUAACGCGUGGGAACGUGCCUUCCGGUUCGGGAUACCCCUGGGAAACUAGGGCUAAUACCGGAUACGCCCCUCUGGGACAAGGUUUACGCCAGGAAGUGCGGCCGGGGUCCGUUUCGCCGGUGGGUGGGGUAACGGCCUACCACGGCGUCGCUAGUUAGCGGGGCUGAGAGGCAGCUCGGCCACACUGGGGGUCGGACCCGGCCCAGACUCCUACGGGAGGCAGCAGUGGGGGAUAUUGGACAAUGGGCGCAAGCCUGAUCCAGCCAUGCCGGGUGAGUGAUGUAGGCCUGAGGGUUGUAAAGCUCUUUUAUCCGGGACGAUAAUGACGGUACCGGAGGAAUAAGCCCCGGCUAACUUCGUG
rnacentral:rRNA from 1 species